GACGAACGCUGGCGGCGUGCUUAACACAUGCAAGUCGUACGGUAAGGCCCUUUCGGGGGUACACGAGUGGCGAACGGGGGAGUAACACGUGAGUAACCUGCCCACAACUUUGGGAUAACGCUAGGAAACUGGUGCUAAUACUGGAUAUGUGCUCCUGCUGCAUGGUGGGGGUUGGAAAGCUCCGGCGGUUGUGGAUGGACUCGCGGCCUAUCAGCGUGUUGGUGGGGUAGUGGCGUAACAAGGCGGCGACGGGUAGCGGGCCUGUGAGGGUGACCGGCCACCUUGGGACUUAGAUACGGCCCAGACUCCUACGGUAGGCAGCUGUGGGGAAUCUUGCACCAUGGGCGCCAGCCUGAUGCAGCAACGCCGCGUGCGGGAUGACGGCCUUCGUGUUGUAAACCGCUUUCAGCAGGGACGAAGCUUUUUGUGACGGUACCUGCAGAAUAAGCACCGGCUAACUACGUG
rnacentral:rRNA from 1 species